rnacentral:rRNA from 1 species
UACAGAGGCUACGAGCGUUGUUCGGAAUUACUGGGCGUAAAGGGCGCGUAGGCGGUUUCAUAAGUCAGAUGUGAAAGCCUGGGGCUUAACCCCAGAAGUGCAUUUGAAACUGUGAGGCUAGAGUGCAGUAGAGAAUGGCGGAAUUCCCAGUGGAGAGGUGAAAUUCGUAGAUAUUGGGAGGAACACCGGUGGCGAAGGCGGCCAUUUGGGCUGUAACUGACGCUGAGGCGCGAAAGCGUGGGUAGCAAACAGG